AACGAACGCUGGCGGCAGGCUUAACACAUGCAAGUCGAGCGGGCCCUUCGGGGUCAGCGGCAGACGGGUGAGUAACGCGUGGGAAUCUACUCAUCCCUACGGAACAACUCCGGGAAACUGGAGCUAAUACCGUAUACGCCCUUAGGGGGAAAGAUUUAUCGGGGAUGGAUGAGCCCGCGUUGGAUUAGCUAGUUGGUGGGGUAAAGGCCUACCAAGGCGACGAUCCAUAGCUGGUCUGAGAGGAUGAUCAGCCACAUUGGGACUGAGACACGGCCCAAACUCCUACGGGAGGCAGCAGUGGGGAAUAUUGGACAAUGGGCGCAAGCCUGAUCCGGCCAUGCCGCGUGAGUGAUGAAGGCCUUAGGGUUGUAAAGCUCUUUCAGUAGGGAAGAUAAUGACGGUACCUACAGAAGAAGCCCCGGCUAACUUCGUGCCAGCCGCCGCCGUAA
rnacentral:rRNA from 1 species